rnacentral:rRNA from 1 species
UACGUAGGUGGCAAGCGUUGUCCGGAAUUAUUGGGCGUAAAGCGCGCGCAGGCGGUCCUUUAAGUCUGAUGUGAAAGCCCACGGCUCAACCGUGGAGGGUCAUUGGAAACUGGGGGACUUGAGUACAGAAGAGAAGAGUGGAAUUCCACGUGUAGCGGUGAAAUGCGUAGAGAUGUGGAGGAACACCAGUGGCGAAGGCGACUCUUUGGUCUGUAACUGACGCUGAGGCGCUAAAGCGUGGGGAGCAAACAGG